AAAAGUUAAGCUUAGUAAGCCAUCAAGCACUGAUCACUCGUAGAAGAGCACCAAUAGGAGACAGAACUAAUUAGAAGGUGUUAUUAUUCAGUCUGUACAUCGAAUAGAAGGCACUAACCACAAGGUGAUCUUCAAUUCAUCUCUGUGUGAAUGUGAACGGGGCGAGAAGACCCCCACUAACUGCAUGUCCCUAGACUGUGGGAGGAAGCUCGAGAGAACAUCCAGACUCCACACAAAGACCCCGGCCUGAUGAGGCUAGGGUCCUGAGUUC